rnacentral:rRNA from 1 species
UACGUAGGGACCGAGCGUUGUCCGGAUUCAUUGGGCGUAAAGAGCUCGUAGGCGGCUGUUCAAGUCGAACGUGAAAACUCGGAGCUCAACUCCGAGCCUGCGUUCGAUACUGGACGGCUAGAGUCUGGUAGGGGGAUCUGGAAUUCCUGGUGUAGCGGUGAAAUGCGCAGAUAUCAGGAGGAACACCGGUGGCGAAGGCGGCAUCCUGGACCGGUAUUGACGCUGAGGCGCGAAAGCCAGGGGAGCAAACGGG